rnacentral:lncRNA from 1 species
GUGGGGCUGGGGGCACACGGUCAGCAUGUAGACUCCUUUUGUGUCUGUAUUCAGAAGAACCAGCCAUAUUCCUUCCCUUGCUCUUGUAUUGUUGGCCAGACAUUAUACCUAUUAAUCACAACAGACCACAAACACAUCAAAUAAGCACCUCAUGAACUAACAACCACUAAGUGUGGAAUUCACUCCACACUUAGUUUCUAGUAUAGGUACAUAAGUAAAUGAACCAGGGUACUCAGAAUUUCUCUGUUCAACAUACAAUUACCAUCAUCAGUCAUCCAACAUCGAACAAAAAUUCAUCUUCCAGCAGUGGCAAUUCAAAAUUUCAUCACAAUAACUUAAUGGGCUAACAACUUUUACAGAACACAUAGCCAUGCAUUAACACCUUACCACUCUUCAAUAAUUUCACAUAAGUGCAUUCAACAUGUCAAACCUAACCUCACUUCAAUGGCAUUCAAUUCAAUAAUUUAUAGCAACCGUUAAGGUGAUGGAGAUCGGGAUCCACCCCACACUUAGUUGUUAUCAUGUAGUGAACAUGAAUAUCCCAACUUUAUUUAAACUCAUCUCAUGGUGUAGCAAAAUAACUCAUUUGUCUAUCAAUUUAGAUUUCAGACAAUUAGUUAAACUAAGUCAAGUCAACCAAAAAUCAUUUUUCAUCCUAAAUCAGCAUCAACCACAGAAUUGGACACGCCAGAACUAGCAGAGCAACAAAACCAUAGAAACAUAUCACCAUUUUUAAUGCCAAGGCUCACAUAUCACCAUCCCCAAAAUGUUACCCAACAAAAUUAUUUAAGUAAAAGUCAUAAGAAGCACACACACACACAAGACAUUUAACAUAUAUACAUGAAGAGUUACUUCCAAUUUCCUUAUAUCUCAAAUUUUAAAUAAAUUAACUGAUGUCAUCAUGUAGUGCAUUUAAACCCAUAAAAAGUUUGAAGACUUACCUUAGUCUUGAUUAAGAAGAUAAAGAUGAAAUAUUGUUCUUAGCACAAAGGGUUUACACAAUUUAAUAACGAUAAUUUAGGAUUUGGGAAUUUUGGGGCGGCUGUCGGCUAGGGUUUUAGGGGAAUAGUAGAAUGAGAUAGUGGAGGUAUAUAUAAAGGAGAGAAAGGUGGGAUUUGAUUAGGGUUUAUUUAUCACCGACACAGGAAAAUGACGCGAUGCAUCAACAAUCUCAUUGAUGUGAACGAUGCAACGUGUUGAGUUUACGUUGUUACACUAGAAAUUA